rnacentral:rRNA from 1 species
AACGAACGCUGGCGGCAUGCCUAACACAUGCAAGUCGAACGAGACCUUCGGGUCUAGUGGCGCACGGGUGCGUAACGCGUGGGAACCUGCCCUUAGGUUCGGAAUAACUCCCCGAAAGGGGUGCUAAUACCGGAUAAUGUCUUCGGACCAAAGAUUUAUCGCCUUUGGAUGGGCCCGCGUUGGAUUAGCUAGUUGGUAGGGUAAAAGCCUACCAAGGCGACGAUUCAUAGCUGGUCUGAGAGGAUGAUCAGCCACACUGGGACUGAGACACGGCCCAGACUCCUACGGGAGGCAGCAGUGGGGAAUAUUGGACAAUGGGCCAAAGCCUGAUCCAGCAAUGCCGCGUGAGUGAUGAAGGCCUUAGGGUUGUAAAGCUCUUUUACCCGGGAUGAUAAUGACAGUACCGGGAGAAUAAGCUCCGGCUAACUCCGUG